rnacentral:ncRNA from 13 species
AGUGAUGAGGAACCAACGAGAGCUAGUUUGAUGGCUUCGACGCUCUGCUCUGAAA